rnacentral:misc_RNA from 1 species
GAUGAAGAUCGCAGCGAAAUGCGAUACGUAAUGUGAAUUGCAGAAUUCAGUGAAUCAUCGAAUCUUUGAACGCAUAUUGCGCUCUCUGGUAUUCCGGAGAGCAUGCUUGUUUGAGUAUCAGUAAACACCUCAACUCUUUUUUCUUUUUUGAAAUUGGAGCUGGACUUGAGUGAUCCCAACGCUUUCUUCCAAGAAAGUGGCGGGUUGCUUGAAAUGCAGGUGCAGCUGAACUUUUCUCUGAGCUAUAAGCAUAUCUAUUUAGUCUGCCUAAAAAACAGAUUAUUACCUUUGCUGCAGCUAACAUAAAGGAGACUAGUUCUUGUGCUGACUGAUGCAGGAUUCACAGAGACAGCUUCGGCUGACUUUGUAAACUCGAUCUCAAAUCAAGUAAGACUACCCGCUGAACUUAAGCAUAUCAAUAAGCGGAGGA